rnacentral:misc_RNA from 1 species
CCAAUAGCGUAUAUUAAAGUUGUUGCAGUUAAAAAGCUCGUAGUUGAAUUUCGGGAUUGGCGCAUCGGUCGUGCCUUACGGGGUAUGAACUGGUGCAGUCAAUUUCUCACCUUCUGGAGAACCGCGAUGUCCUUAAUUGGGUGCCGCGGGGAACCAGGACCUUUACUUUGAAAAAAUUAGAGUGUUUAAAGCAGGCAUUUUUGCUUGAAUACAUUAGCAUGGAAUAAUAAAAUAGGACGGCAUGGUUCUAUUUUGUUGGUUUCUAGGACCACCGUAAUGAUUAAUAGGGAUAGUUGGGGGCAUUAGUAUUCAAUUGUCAGAGGUGAAAUUCUUGGAUUUAUUGAAGACUAACUACUGCGAAAGCAUUUGCCAAGGAUGUUUUCAUUAAUCAAGAACGAAAGUUAGGGGAUCGAAGACGAUCAGAUACCGUCGUAGUCUUAACCAUAAACUAUGCCGACUAGGAAUCAGACGAUGUUAAUUUUUUAAUGACUCGUUUGGCACCUUACA